rnacentral:misc_RNA from 1 species
GCUAUUUCUAUUAUUGAAGAAGAACUUGGAGCCCCUUUGGCUGAUAUUUUUGAUCGAUUUGAUUACGAACCAAUAGCUGCUGCAAGUCUUGGCCAGGUUCAUCGUGCGAGCUUGAAGGGCCAAGAAGUAGUGGUGAAAGUACAAAGACCUGGUUUGAAGGAUUUAUUUGACAUUGAUCUGAAGAAUCUAAGGGUAAUUGCCGAAUACCUUCAGAAGGUGGAUCCAAAGUCGGACGGUGCUAAGAGAGACUGGGUUGCUAUCUAUGAUGAGUGUGCUAGUGUCCUCUAUGAGGAGAUAGAUUACACCAAAGAAGCAGCUAAUGCAGAACUGUUUGCUAAAAACUUCGAAUCCAUGGAUUAUGUCAAAGUGCCAAAUA